rnacentral:rRNA from 1 species
UACGUAGGGUGCAAGCGUUAAUCGGAAUUACUGGGCGUAAAGCGUGCGCAGGCGGUCCGCUAAGACAGAUGUGAAAUCCCCGGGCUUAACCUGGGAACUGCAUUUGUGACUGCAUGGCUAGAGUACGGUAGAGGGGGAUGGAAUUCCGCGUGUAGCAGUGAAAUGCGUAGAUAUGCGGAGGAACACCGAUGGCGAAGGCAAUCCCCUGGACCUGUACUGACGCUCAUGCACGAAAGCGUGGGGAGCAAACAGG